GGGUGAUUAGCUCAGUUGGGAGAGCACCUCCCUUACAAGGAGGGGGUCACUGGUUCGAGCCCGGUAUCGCCCACCA
rnacentral:tRNA from 2 species